AUUCUUUCCAAGGAAUCAUUCCUUCAUCUCUGUCUUCCUUGAAGGGACUCCAGGGAUUAGAUCUUUCGCGGAACAAUCUCACUGGUGAAAUUCCAAAAGACCUGCAAAGUUUACAUUAUCUAUCAUAUUUAAAUCUUUCUUUUAAUGAUCUUAUGGGUGAGAUUCCAAUCAACGGAGUUUUCAGAAAUGCAAGUGCAAUUUCAUUGAUAGGUAAUAAUAAACUUUGUGGAGGUGUGCCAAAACUCCAUCAGCCG
rnacentral:misc_RNA from 1 species